rnacentral:rRNA from 1 species
AUACGUAGGUGGCAAGCGUUGUCCGGAUUUAUUGGGCGUAAAGCGAGCGCAGGCGGUCUCUUAAGUCUGAUGUGAAAGCCCCCGGCUCAACCGGGGAGGGUCAUUGGAAACUGGGAGACUUGAGUGCAGAAGAGGAGAGUGGAAUUCCAUGUGUAGCGGUGAAAUGCGUAGAUAUAUGGAGGAACACCAGUGGCGAAGGCGGCUCUCUGGUCGGUAACUGACGCUGAGGCGCGAAAGCGUGGGGAGCAAACAGGAUUAGAUACCCUGGUAGUCCACGCCGUAAACGAUGAGUGCUAAGUGUUGGAGGGUUUCCGCCCUUCAGUGCUGCAGCUAACGCAUUAAGCACUCCGCCUGGGGAGUACGGCCGCAAGGCUGAAACUCAAAUGAAUUGACGGGG